rnacentral:lncRNA from 1 species
AGUCCUGGAAGUUAGGAAGUCCAAGAUGAAGGCACUGGCAGGUUCAUUUAUCUGGAGACAUGUCUAUGAGUGGCUGAGAGACCUGUUUAAUUCUGGGGUAUAGAAUUAAGAUGGCCACCUGCCUGCAAGUAGAGAUAAGCUGCAUUCUCCCAAAUCAACUUUGUUCAUAAUAAAAGGAAUGUUCUGGCCUCCAUAUGCCAUACUCUUUAUUGUCAAUUUCUUAAAUAGUUCACAACUUGGUUAGAGAAGAGGCAGGCUAUCUAUUGCCCCAUCCUCUACCUUUUUUUCUUUUUUAAAAAAACUAAAUACCUAAUUGCUAUAUUGUUAUUCUUUUGUCUGUUAGUGCUCUCUUUAACACGUAUAAAAAUAGACCAAAUUGACAUGAUCAUAUUUUAGAAAAAUACUAUUUUCUUUUUUUUGAAAAGGAAACAGAAAAAAAAGAUAGAUGGCUUAAAUUGUCUACUUAUCAUAACAUAGAAUUAGAAAUCCCAGUCUUUGUGGCUGCCAAAAAAAAAAAAAAAAAAAAGAA